rnacentral:rRNA from 1 species
AUGUUGAUGCCAGAUCUAGGUCGCCGAUCCGGUCGCCGUCGUCCCAUGACCGGUCCCUGCGCAAUGCGCCGGUGGAGAUGGUGCCGGAGACGCCGCCGGAGCUCCAGGGCGUCCAGCCGCGGGUCGCAUCCAUCAUCAUCGUCCCGUCGCCUCAACUCCUCGGCGCCUCGUCCUCUUCCUGCAGCGGCUCUCCAGCGGAUGCGGGGCGUGACGCAGAUGCGUCUGGCGAGGGAUGGCAGCUCGUGUGCUCCCGGCGUGGCCCGCGCCUCCCGCCUCCUCCUGCACCGGCCUCUGCUUGACGCCCCCCUUCCUGCCUGGCUGCACGGGAGAUGCUGCUGCUGCCUCGCCCCGGGUCACCGUGCUUUGGUUUGCCGGGAUCCCUUCAGGUGCUCUCGCUGCCUCCAGCCCGGCCACCGUGCUCGCGGAUGUACCAAUGCGUGGCGCCCGCUCGGCUCCCUGAAGAUCCUGCGGCGGCCUGCUACAGCUCCCCCUGUGGCUCCCCGGCCACCGACUCAUGGUUGGCCUGCUCCUCCGCAAGCUGAAAUGCCCACCUCGUCAGCAUGGCCUCAACUCGGAGGUGCUGUCCUGCGGAGGGAAGGUCUUGCUGCUACGGAUAUGCUGCACCAAACACCAACCAGCUCUGGUCAUGUGGCGACAGUUUGGCUUGCCGGGGCGCAGUCAGAUGCCUCUUGCAAGGCCGUGGCAGAGGCCCUUGCGUCCGCGAUCGGCGCCAACGUCGUGGAUAUCAGGGCCAUCCGCCAAUUUGUGGAUGCCACCGUCGAUCGUCAAUCUCCGUCCAGGACUAUGCUCCCCUCGCCGUCUUCAUCUGCAUCACGGCCCCCAGGAUUUGAAGCUUCUCCGGUGACGAGCUCUGCCCCACAGACGCCGCCCUUCAUUACCGAUGCUUGCCGCACACCUUGCAGUACAGCGACUGAUGAUGUUUGUUCCCCUACUACCGAGACGGUCGCUGUCUCCGCUACGCCGCCCCAGACUCCUGGUCCAGCACCUACUCUGCAUGUCACCCCUACAAGUCAGGUGAUGGUUCAUGAAGAGCAGGAACUGCCGGCUGGGUUUGACACCCUGUUUCAGCCGCGUCAGGAGGCCAUCUUGGGCUCCCCUCCAACACUGCAAGGGAAACAACCAGGACGACGUAGAAAGACCAUGGCUGGGAUGUCCAUUGACCAGGAAGGGGCUGCUUUCUGUCACGACCGGUUUUCCGGGUAA